rnacentral:lncRNA from 1 species
CCCCAUGGGGGAAACGCCUCUUUCUGUAUUUCCAUUAUCUUGUUCAAGGCACGAUCCUAGUGGGAAAGGAAAUACCGGAGCCUUCUCCCUCUGAGCCUCCUGGUGGGUUAAGAGCAGAGGGAGCCAAAAUACGACAUCCAAAAGACCUGAUUGGAAACUCAUUAAAAUUGAGGGGACAGGUUGUUGGGGGGGGCGGUGCUGGGCUGCCCAGAAAUCGUCUGCAUUUGAGAAAUUACUUGAUGGACUCAGAGGCACCUUUAGCUCUGGGUGAAAUAUUCCAAACAUGGCUUUCCCCAGGAGGAAGCGAAAUAGGGGCUGGGCCUUUUGAAAGAGUAACCCCUACUCCAAAUAUUUAUUGAGCAGUUGCUAUGAUGAGCCAAGAACUCUGCUUAGCGAUUGUUUUUGUAUUAGCUCAUGCCAAUUCACUUAUACAAAGGAGAACACUGACUUCCCCAAGGUCACAGGGCUAGUGAGUGGCUGACUCCACUUAAUGCUGUGUAGUUCUAACCAUGCUUGAAGGAUAAAGGGAAAGGAGGUGCCCUUGUCGGGGUAGACAAGCCACCCAGACGUGGCUGGCCACAGGGAGUCAGACAGGGAAGUUGUCUAACCUAACAUUUGCCUGUCUAUUCUGUUUUUGUCUUUUGAUGGAGGACGGCGGGUGCUGGAGGGCCACUGGCCCAGGACCUGAGACCUUUGGCCCCUAUCUAUUCUAUUUUUGAUCCUAAAAUUAUUUCACUGGGGACAGAAUUCUCUGGAGAAGGUGAUGGUGGCCAUGGUGUGGCUGUGGCAUUAAAAGCCCCACUCUGGGGGUCAGAAGAUCCUGGGUUUUGGUCUUUGGCUUUGACAUUGACCUGCCUAUGUGACAUUGAACA